rnacentral:lncRNA from 1 species
GACGUUAACUAUUUUGUCAUAAACUUUCCCAAUUUUUAUGAAACGACAAUAUACAACACGUUUGGUUAUAAAGUGCCAACCAAUUUAUCUAACGACUGUCCCACAUUUUGUGGUGGUAUAUUAGGGUUACAAGAAGAUAUUAUGUGUGUGCAAACAAAAAUAGAAGAAAUAGAAAUAGAGAACCAUGUCGAUUGUGAUAAUUUUAAUAUCAAUGAUUCAACAAGUAAUAUACUGAAAUUAUUAUUUAACAAUCCCAAUGAUAAUGAAAAAGAAAAAAAUACAUAUUUACUACCUGAACACAAUUUUUGGGUUGAAUUUAAAACAUUGAGCUCACCCAAUUUUGGUUUAACAAAUAACAAUAAAAAAAAAGAGAAAAAAAAAAAAUUUUCUUAUAUAGCAAAUGUAAAAAAUAAAUUAUUAAAAAAUAAAAAAAUUGAUAAAUAUUUUAGAAUAUCAUCUGAUUCGAUUUUACCUCAUUCUAAGAAUUUUGUUGAUAAUAAUGAUAAUAAUCCGAAAAAAAACACGCAUGAUGGCGACGUUAACAAUUGUAUUGCAAACGGUGACUUAAAUAAAAAUGAAGCUCAUACAAACAGAAGUGGUGCUGUCCCUAGUAACAAUAAAAAUGAAUCUAUCAAUAAAUCUAAUAAGAACAAUAAUAUUUAUUGUAAUACAAACAAUAUUAAUGAUAAUAACGUAUGUCCGCAGUACAAUAAUAAACAUAUGUUGAAUAUAGAUGCAAAAAAUAUUAAGCAGUCAAGUAUUGAUGAAAGUGAUAAACAUAUUGUUAUUAAAGACGAUAUUAUUAUUUUUAAAAACAUGGAUGAUGAGGAUGAGGAUGAGGAAGAAUAUAAUAACAAUGAUACUGUUACGAAUACCAUUAAUUAUAAUACAUAUGGUGCUGAUAAUAAUGUGAAUAACAACAAAUGGAGUGCUUAUGACAUUAAUGGUUCGACUUAUAACAAUAAUGUUAAUAAUAAAACUUUUGCGGGUAGUAUAAAUAACACUGAUAAAUCUUCUUUGAACUCCUCUAUAUAUAGUUCAAAUAAUUAUUUAAAUAUACAAAGUUACAUGACGGAGCAAUAUAUUAUUAAUAAAAAACAA